rnacentral:rRNA from 1 species
GACGAACCGUGCGAACGUUGUUCGGAAUCACUGGGCUUAAAGGGCGCGUAGGCGGGCUGACAAGUCUGGGGUGAAAUGCCGGCGGCUCAACCGUGGAACUGCCUUAGAUACUGUCGGCCUCGGAGGAAGGUAGGGGCAUGCGGAACUGUAGGUGGAGCGGUGAAAUGCGUUGAUAUCUACAGGAACUCCGGUGGCGAAAGCGGCGUGCUGGACCUUUUCGACGCUGAGGCGGCGAAAGCUAGGGGAGCAAACGGGAUUAAGAAACCCGUGGUAGUCCG